rnacentral:piRNA from 1 species
CAGACAAAACACAGUGCAGGCAGUG